rnacentral:lncRNA from 1 species
UAGAGCAGCAAAAUUUUUGUGGGCAAAAGAAAUCAGGGCAAAAUCAGACUGCUACGGCUCGUCUGAUUUGUGUGAGUCUCCUCUGAUGCAUCCUUGUACCAAGACAUCUCAACUCUUGAGUAACAUAAGGCAGCUCAGCUCAUUUGUUGGGGCCCUACAGAAAAUCACAGACGAUACAUCUGAAUCCAUGUUCUGUAUCAUCCUGUAAAAAUAGAUAAAAAAAGUUUAAUUAUAUGCACCAUUCAUGGCUUCUCUAAUAGGAAGAGUUCUCUUAGGCGCAUUGUUUUCGUGUAAUAUAGGUCAGAGCUGAUGGGCUCGCCAAAUUGGUCUGGGGUUAAGACAUUUGUUUGUGUAAUGGUGUGAAAUAAUAACGAUCCAGCUCUCAGUUUUCUAAUACUUCCUUUGUCCUACAAUGCACGGCGAUUUUGCAAGUUAUGUUGCUUGCAAAAACGUCUUAUGUUAUGGGAUGGAGGAAGUACUACAUACAUUCUUUUUCUUUUAUAUAAAGAGGAGGCAAAAGAUCUGCCUGCUUUUCAUUAGUUAAGGAGAGUGAAACAGAGUAUCAUGAGUUAAAACACAUUGGCGGUUGGAGGUUGUAUUCAUCCGUCUUGGACCCAAUCAGGAAUUUUCUGAGGAAGUUUUCAAAAUAUUUUCUGAACAAUGUAGAUUUAUAGGGAGGAAAAUGUUUUCUCUAUCGAUGCAGAGGAUAGAAAUAGAGGAAGAUGAUGUCAGGCAGAGGGUCUUGUGAUGUAGGAUAGGAAUAAAGGGAUUAUUUAUAUGCACCUUAAUCUAGCCACAGGUACUCUCUAGUUGGAUUACCGGCACGGCCUUGUCCUCCACACUUUCUCUUCUUAGUUUGGACUUUGGAGCAAUUUCAUGUAAAUUUUGUUCUCCUCCAAUGCCUCAAACAAAAUACAAAAACAUAUGUGAGCUGCAUCUCAUGCCUCCUCUCUCCUCUCUCACAGUCUCUAGCAUCUCUAAAUGUUUCUCUCAAGAACUACAUUUUUACUUCUAUCCUCUUCUCUUUGUUUUCUCUUAUAUAGCAAACCAGACUACAUGCACAGGCUGUUUAGCCACAACCAAGCUCACGCCACAUGACUCGAGCUGGUCACUCACACCAUUCUACAUGGGAAACUAACCACUGCCAGAUCAUAUCCACAGGAAGCAUGCUACUUGACCGCCCUCACGCAAAUUUUGUUCUCCUCGAAUGCCUCAAACAAAGCUGCACCUCAAAUCUCCUCGCUCCUCUCUCACAAUCUCUAGCAUCUCUGAAUGUUUCUCUCAAGAACAGAGGCACACCAAGGUGGGAAAGCGCCGAUGCAUCUCUUUUUGGUGAAACGAACAGCUAGUACAUUUUUGCUUGUGCCCUCACUGCCUAUUCCCUCUUCUCUUUGUGUCUCUUAUAUAGCAAACCAGACUACAUGCAGGUUGUUAGCCUCAACCAAGGUCACGCCUCACGCCACAUGACUCGGCCAAAUGCUCGCUGGUCACUCACACCAUCACUGCCAGAUCAUAUCGAUAGGAAGCAUGCUACUUGACCGCCCUCACGUAAAUUUUGUUCUCCUCCAACGCCUCAAACAAAGCUGGACCUCAAAACUCCUCGCUCCUCUCUCACAACCUCUAGCAUCUCUGAACGUUUCUCUCAAGGACACAGACACAUCAAGGUGGGAAAGCGCCGACGCAUCUCUUUUUGGUGAAACGAACAACUAGUCUACAUGCACAGGUUGUUAGCCUCAACCAAGCUCAGGCCUCACGCCACAUGACUCUGGCCAAAUGCUCGCUGGUCACUCACACCAUCUUACAUGCAUGGGAAACUAACCACUGCCAGAUCCAUAGGAAACAUGCUACUUGACCGACUCAAGUAGCAAUUUAUUUACAAUUAAUCACAUGUUUUAAUAUGACGUGAUAGAAACUAGGCAAACGAUUCUGUUGAUAUUUCCUUCGAAUAAUUCACAUAUAGUGUUUCAGUGAUACAAGCCAUAGAAAUGGUUCUAUUAACAUGAGAAAGAUAACAUUUGCCACGUGGAACACUGUUUGACAAAAGGAUGUUGAUGCACAUGCUCAUUGCCGAAGUCCGUCCUUCUCCCUGCCAUCUUGUUCUUCGACACCCAUCAACUAGCGGCCCUUUCCACAUAUAUACCAUACAAAUGAGCCUUGCUUAUCAUCAUUUAAAAAAUUAGAGUUAAUUGCAUCCAUGGUACAUGAAUUUGCACGACGGAUACAUAUUGAUACAACAAAUUGAAAAAUGACACAAAUUGGUCACACAACUUGAGUUUCGUGCCGUCAAUGCCCCGUAACUCUGCCUACAUGGCACACAAACAUGGCAAUCGGCCGCACUCUACCUCACUUCAUUUCGCAGGUCCCAACACCACAUUUAGAAAAAACAAAUAAUUUCUCCUGGUAGCUGACAAGUGGGACCUACACAACAAAGUGAGGUAGAGCGUGUGCCAAUUGCCAUGUUUGACGUGCCAUGUAGGCAGUGUUACGUGGCUUUUUAAUGGCAAUAAACGAAAAUGUACUUGAAACUCAAGUUGCGUUUUUUUAAAAGCUAGUCGAAUCCCAACACCGCAUUUUUUAAAACAAAUAAUUUCUCCUGGCAUCUGACAUGCGGGACCUACACAACAAGUGAGGUAGAGCAUGGGCCAAUUGCCAUGUUUGACGUGCCAUGUAGGCAGAGUUAUGGGGCAUUAACAACAAUAGACGUAAAUUUACCUGGAACUCAAAUUGUGUUUGUCUCUACUCCUAUAAAAUUCUUAGUUGGUGAUGAUGGUGUGCAUAUAACAUUUGUAAGCCUUCUUUGGUUUGGAGCAAUUCUAUAGGAAUUUCAUAGGAUAGGAUUUCUAUAGAAAAUAUUCCUUUAGAACCCUUUGAUUUUUAUGAAUAAAAUCAUAUUCCUAUGGAGGAAUCUACUAUUCUUAAGAAGUUGAUCCCCACUUCUAAUAAUUCUCUCUACAUGCACAUUGUCCACAUCAACAUGAUGCCACGUCAAUGUUCUCUCAACAUGCAACCUCCACAUCACCGGUCCACUCAGAUCAACAAUUCUGCACAUGCAUAAUGCCACGUCCACAUUAUAAGUCCCACGAUGAAAAUACAUACUAGAUUACUAGAGCGCACUACUAGAUUUAUGGUCACAAUGAAUGUUAGUGGUCUGUUGUUUCACUAUCUCCUUGAUUCUCGGUCGUUUCGUCCUCCUAUAAGCAUAUAGUGUAAUCAAUGCGACAGUCCCCAUCGGUUCCCGUCCCAUCCCCUUCCCUCUGCCUGAGUUGCUUGCUUCGUGCAGUUACUAUCUGGGCGAUCAAACAGUCCCUUCGAAUCUCGCGGCUUCAUAGCACAAGUACUGCGAAAUCAAGAAGGCGUGAAUGAGACGUUAGUACCUAACUAUCUUCAAUUUGUGCAGGUGGAAAUUUGAUGCUCCUCUAGUAAGCGCCGCUUCGCGUCAGCAGAGCAGCGUAGUAAAUACUGAAGAUGGUCACUAGAGCAACAAAUUUUUGUGGGAAAUAGAAAUCAGGGCCAAAUCAGACUGCUAUGGCUCGUCUGAUUUGUGUGAGUCUCCUCUGAUGCAUCCUUGUACCAAGACAUCUCAACUCUUGAGUAACAUAAGGCAGCUCAGCUCAUUUGUUGGGACCCUACAGAAAGUCACAUACCAUACAUCUGAAUCCAUGAUAUGUAUCAUCCUGUAAAAAUAGAUAAAAAAAGUUUAAUUAUAUGCACCAUUCAUGGCUUCUCUAAUAGGAAGAGUUCUCUUAGGCGCAUUGUUUUCGUGUAAUAUAGGUCAAGAGCAGAUGGGCUCGCCAAAUUGGUGUGGGGCUAAGACAUUUUCUUUGUGUAAUGGUGUGAAAUAAUGACGAUCCAGCUCUUAGUUUUCUAAUACUCCCUUUGUCCUGCAAUGCAAGGGGAUUUUGCAAGCUAUGUUGCUUGCAAAGACGUCUUAUAUUAUGGGAUGAAAGGAGUACUGCAUACAUUUUUCUUUUCUCUUAAAGUUGAGGCAAAAGAUCUGCCUCAAUGAAACAGAGUAUCACGGGUUAAACACAUUGGAGGUUGGAGGUUGUAAUUCUAUUUCAUCCAUCUUGGACUCAAUCAGGAAUUUUGUGAGGAAGUUUUCAAAAUAUUUUUUGAACAAUAUAUAUUUAUACGGCGGGAAAUAUUUUCUCUAUAUUGAUGCAAGGGAUAGAAAUAGAGGAAGAUGAUGUAGGGCAGAGGCAGAGGGUGGCCAAUUUUUGUGUUUUGACUUUUUGCGCAAAGUUUAGUCUGAUCUAACCCCAGUUCAAAAGUAUUUCGAGAUUUGACCCUUUUCCCUGCCGCUGGGGAGGAUGGAGGUAGGGUUGUAUAGGCUACCACCCAAAGUCUCGGCGGUAGCCCACUCAUCCAUGUCAGCCCAAGUAAACGGCCGUCGUCUUCUGCCGUCCAUCCUAUCGUCGUGGACCCUGGUGGUAGAUGCUGAACAAUUAUAAACCACGGGGACCGGGGCACGGGGCCCACCCACGAACCCCAGCCCCCAUCUUCUCCGCUGCGUGGCUGCAAGAACAGAGAGGGAGGUGACGACGCCGUAGACCUAGGGUAGGGUCAUAGACCUGACGUAUACACCCUACCCAAGGUCACUACCCUUGAAUCAAGGACAUUCAAAGUAUAGCAAGAAAUACCAACUGAAUUAGCCAUGGAGUGCAAUCCACUUGACCAGUCACCUCACUUGGAUACCUCAAUUUCACUCGACCAAGAUGAAGUCAUUCGACCAUAUAGGAAACCACUCGGAGUACAGAAGACCUAGAGUCACUCAAGAUGGCAACGGUCAGGCAUUCACUCCGUAGUCUUAAAGAUCAUUAAUAGCACUUUAUAGCUGGUGUUACCAGUAAAGCCCUGUCUUAAUGUACACAAGGGUUCGCACCCCUUGUAACACACACUCAUAUUCUAGUCGACCGCCUCAGGGCUCCGAGACGUAGGGCUUUUACCUCCUCCGAGUGGGGCCUGAACUCGUAAACUCGUGUGUACAACCUCGCCGUAGCUAGGGCCUUGCCUCCUCAUACGUACCCCCUACUCUUACUGUCAGACUUAAUACCAUGACAGUUGGCACCCACCGUGGGGCAAAGCGUCCUAGCAACUUCCGGCGACGUUGUAUUUUUUCCGAUCUUCAUCAACGUGGUUUUCGGCGGUGGUUUGGUAACGGGCCAUGAGUUCCAACUCGGCGCGCUCACUUUCUCGCCGACGAUUCCACCUGGCUCCAAGAAGCCCCCCUCGAUGUCGAGGCUCUUCCGAUCCGCAGGGCGUCGCACUUCCGUGCGAGUGCCUGCGGUGUUCUUCUACGUCAGCCGUCGACUCCGUAUCGGUCGGCCCUCACAUGGUCUGCUCACUUCGCUGGACGCCGCCGCAAGCGAUCCGGUCGGUCGCGGCUCCAGCGGUGGGUAAAGCAUGCGGUGGCCCAUCAGACGGCCACCCUCAAGUCCCGGCGAUCGAGCCCGAUGAAUUUCUUUAUGGUCCAGUCGACCCGACGACUAGCUCUGCGAGUACUUUUUUCGAGCGCGGGAGCUGUGACCCCCGCGGCAGAAGUCCUCAUGGACGACUCCCAUCGCAGCCACCCUAGGUUUCACCGCAACGGUGGCAACGGCGACGGUGACAGCUGAUACGUCUCCAACGUAUCUUUAAUUUAUGAAGCAUUCGUGCUAUUAUAUUAUCUGUUUUGGAUGUUUAUGGGCUUUACUAAGCACUUUUAUAUUAUUUUUGGGACUAACCUAUUAACCGGAGGCCCAGCCCAAAUUGCUGUUUUCCGGCCUAUUUCAGUGUUUUGAAGAAAAGGAAUAUGAAACGGAGUCCAAACGAAAUGAAACCUUCGGGAAAGUUAUUUUUGGAACGGAAGCAAUCCAAGGGACUUGGAGUGCAUGUAAGGGAAGCCUCGAGGUGGCCACGAGGCAGGGAGGCGCGCCCACCCCCUGGGCGCGCCCCCCACCCUCAUGGGCCCCUCGUGGCUCCCGUGACCGACUUCUUUCGCCUAUAUAUCUCCAUAUACCCUAAAAACAUCGGGGACAACAAUAGAUCGGGAGUUCCGCCGCCGCAAGCCUCUGUAGCCACCAAAAACCUCUCGGGAGCCCGUUCCGGCACCCUGCCGGAGGGGGGAUCCCUCACCGGUGGCCAUCUUCAUCAUCCCGGCGCUCUCCAUGACGAGGAGGGAGUAGUUCAGCCUCGGGGCUGAGGGUAUGUACCAGUAGCUAUGUGUUUGAUCUCUCUCUCUCGUGUUCUUGAGGUGAUACGAUCUUGAUAUAUCGCGAGCUUUGCUAUUAUAGAUGGAUCUUAUGAUGUUUCUCCCCCUCUACUCUCUUAUGAUGAAUUGAGUUUUCCCCUUGAAGUUGUCUUGUCGGAUUGAGUCUUUAAGGAUUUGAGAACACUUGAUGUAUGUCUUGUCGUGCUUAUCUGUGGUGACAAUGGGAUAUUCACGUGAUCUACUUGAUGUAUGUUUUUGUGAUCAACUUGCGGGUUCAAUGAACUUAUGCAUAGGGGUUGGCACACGUUUCCUCUUGACUCUCCGGUAGAAACUUUGGGGCACUCUUUGAAGUACUUUGUGUUGUUUGAAUAGAUGAAUCUGAGAUUGUGUUAUGCAUAUCGUAUAAUCAUGCCCACGGAUACUUGAGGUGACAUUGGAGUAUCUAGGUGACAUUAGGGUUUUGGUUGAUUUGUGUCUUAAGGUGUUAUUCUAGUACGAACUCUAUGAUAGAUCUAACGGAAAGAAUAACUUCAUGUUAUUUUACUACGGACUCUUGAAUAGAUCGAUCAGAAAGGAUAACUUUGAGGUGGUUUCAUACUCUACCAUAAUCUCUUCAUUUGUUCUCCGCUAUUAGUGACUUUGGAGUGCCUCUUUGUUGCAUGUUGAGGGAUCAUUAUAUGAUCUAAUUAUGUUAUUAUUGUUGAGAGAACUUGCACUAGUGAAAGUAUGAACCCUAGGCCUUGUUUCCUAGCAUUGCAAUACCGUUUAAGCUCACUUUUAUCAUUAGUUACCUUGCUGUUUUUAUAUUUUCAGAUUACAAAAACCUAUAUCUACCAUCCAUAUUGCACUUGUAUCACCAUCUCUUCGCCGAACUAGUGCACCUAUACAAUUUUCCAUUGUAUUGGGUGUGUUGGGUACACAAGAGACUCUUUGUUAUUUGGUUGCAGGGUUGUUUGAGAGAGACCAUCUUCAUCCUACGGCUCCCACGGAUUGAUAAACCUUAGGUCAUCCACUUGAGGGAAAUUUGCUAUUGUCCUACAAACCUCUGCACUUGGAGGCCCAACAACUUGUACAAGAAGAAGGUUGUGUAGUAGACAUCAAGCUCUUUUCUAGCGCCGUUGCCGGGGAGGUGAGUGCUUGAAGGUAUAUCUUUAAAUCUUGCAAUCAAAUCUUUUUGUUUCUUGUUUUAUCACUAGUUUAGUUUAUAAAAGAAAACUUCAAAAAAAUGGAAUUGAGUUUGCCUCAUACGCUUCAUCUUUUUAAUAUCUUUCGUGAGAAUGAUGGAAAGGAAAAUUGUGCUCAAUUGCUAGAAGAAGAAUUACAUAUAAUGCUUGGCAUAAAAUAUGUGAAUGAUGAGCAUGAUUGCAAUGUUGUUAGUAUGAAUUCUUUGAAUACCCAUGAUGCUUAUGAUAUGCAAAGCCACAAGCUUGGGGAUGCUAUGUUUGAUGAAGAUGAUAUGUUUAGUCCCCCAAGUUUUGAUGAGAAUAUUUAUUAUGAUGAAAGCAUGCCUCCUAUUUAUGGUGAUUAUAUUGAUGAAAAUGGGUUUGGAAGAGUGUCAACUUUAGGAAGUAAUGAUCCCACUAUUUUGGAGGAUGUUGAAUAUUAUUGUGAUAAUUAUGAAAGUGGAUUUGAAGAGGUCAUGACUUUAUUUAGUUAUGAAUCCACUAUUUCGGAAGAGAUUCCAAAUGAUUAUGAGAACAAAGUUGCUAUCUAUGAUGAUUAUUGUGAUGACUUGUAUGCUAUUAAGAAUAAUGAUAACCAUGAAAAUUGUCAUCAUGAUUUUAGUUUUCAAUUGGAUUAUGCCUCACAUGAUAAUUAUUUUGUUGAGUUUGCUCCCACUACUAUUCAUGAGAAGAAAUUUGCUUAUGUGGAGAGUAGUAAAUUUUCUAUGCUUGUAGAUGAUGAAAAGAAUGCUUUAUGUGAUGGUUAUAUUGUUGAAUUCAUUCAUGAUGCUACUGAAAAUUAUUAUGAUGGAGGAAUAUAUGCUUGUAGGAAUUGCAAUAAUAUCAAGUUUCCUCUCUAUGUGCUUAAACUGUUGAAGUUAUGCUUGUUUUGCCUUCCUAUGCUAGUUGAUUAUUGUUCCCAUAAGUUGUUUGCUCAAAAAAUCCCUAUGCAUAGGAAGUGGGUUAGACUUAAAUGUCUAGUCAUAUGCUUCAUGAUGCUCCCGUUAUGUUUCAAUUCUUAUCUUUUAUGUGAGCAUCAUUGUCAUCAUCAUGCCUAGCUAGAAAGGCAUUAAAGAAAAGCUCUUGUUGGGAGACAACCCAAUAUUUACCCUUAAUGUUUUUGUGUGUCCACAUGAUUAUGCUACUGUGUUAAUCAUGUUUUAUAUCUUUUGUUUCAAUAAAGUGCCAAGUAAGACCUUUAGGAUAGCUUACGGUGAUAGUUGUGUUGAUCCUGCUGAAAAUCAGAAACUUUUGCACCCGGUAAAUUAGUUUUGGUAAUUCACAGAAACGUGAUUUUGAUCUGAUUCGUUUUUAUCUGGAUUGGUACACAAAUAUCUCAGGUUUUCCUAAUUUGGUAGGAUUGUUGGAGUUCUAGAAGUAUACGUUUUAUACAGAUUACUACAUACUGUUCUGUUUUUGACAGAUUCUGUUUUCUAUGUGUUGUUUGCUUAUAUUGAUGAAUCUAUGAGUAGUAUCGGAGGGUAUGAACCAUAGAGAAGUUGGAAUACAGUAGGUUUAACACCAAUAUGAAUUUAGAAUGAGUUCACAAUAGUACCUAAGUGGUGAUUUAUUUUCUUAUACUAACGGAGCUUACGAGUUUUCUGUUGAGUUUUGUGUUGUGAAGUUUUCAAGUUUUGGGUAAAGAUUCAAUGGACUAUGGAAUAAAGAGUGAUAAGAACCUAAGCUUGGGAAUGCCCAAGGCACCCCAAGAUAAUAUUUCAAUGAGUCUCAAGCAUCCAAGCUUGGGGAUGCCCCGUUAGGCAUCUCACCUUUCUUCUUCAACAACUAUCGGUUAGUAUCGGUUGAACCUAAGUUUUUGCUUUUUUUUCACAUGAGUUGUGCUAUCCUUACAAUGUCAUUUUAUUUUUCUUUGCUUGCUGUUUGAAUAAAAUACAAAGAUCUGAAAUUCUUAAAUGAGAGAGAGUCUUCACAUAGUUACAUAACUAUUUAGCUACUCAUUGAUCCUCACUUAUAUCUUUUUGGAGUAGUUUGUUAUUUACUCGUGUGCUUCACUUAUAUCCUUUGAGUAAAUGGUUGAAUGAUUUGAAUAUCAUAAAUCUGAAAUUAUACAUGUUUCACAUGCUUACCCCAUUGGGAGUAAUGUCUUCACAUCUAAGAAGUAGAGGUGGUAAAUUUAUUAAAGGUUAGCAAACAUAGUAUUGGUCACUUGAACAAUUCAUGAAAGAAUAUUGAAGGAAGAGAGAUUUCACAUAUAAAUAUACUAUCUUAUACAUCUUCUAUGAUUGUGAGCCCCAUUAAUUAUUUUCAAACCUGAGCAAAUUAGUUGAAGUUGGACAAGGAAGACAACGUAAUGAGUUAUGCUUGGGUAUAUUUGAAUAGAAGUUAUAUUGUUAUAGAUCCUCCAACAUGUGGCGCUUGCUUUUUAGAAUCCUUUGCUAGCCAAAAUAUCUGUACUAAGCAGGAAUACUGCUUGUGCAUCCAAAUUCCUUGAACCAAGUUUCUUCCAUGAGUGUCCACCAUACCUACCUAUAUGCGGUAUUUACCUGCCGUUCGAAGUAAAUUUGCAUGUGCCAAACUCUAAAUCUUCAAAUAACAAUCUAUUUUGUAUGCCUGAAUCACUCAUGUAGCGACUAGGGGCUGUCAGUAUCUUCCAUGCUUGGUGGGUUAUUCUCACGAUGAGUGGAAUCCGUCAUCAUUCACGAGAAAAAUGGCUGGUAACUGGGAUGACCAGUGCCAUGAUCAAAAGAUCAAAAUCAAAUAAAAAAUAAUUGCAAACAAAACUCCCCCAGGUUUGAUGUUAGUUGGAGGCACCCGUUGUUUCGGGCAAGCCAUGGAUUGAUGAUUGUUGGUGGAGGGGGAGUAAAAACUUUACCAUUCUGUUUGGGAACCGCCUAUAAAGUAUGUAGUAUGGAAGAUAUUGGGAACUCUUGGUUGUUAUGUUGACAAUGAAAGCAUACCUCUCAAAAUUAUUUUCAUCUCUAUUUCAAAAUCGAGCUCUGGCACCUCUGCAAAUCCUUGCUUCCCUCUGCGAAGGGCCUAUCUUUUACUUUUAUGCAAGAGUCAAUAGUAUUCCUUCUCAUUCCUACCUACUCUUUAGUUGGCAAGCAUCGUGUGUUGGUGAAAGAUCUAAGCAUAUAUGGCCAUUCAAAUAUAAUUUAUCAUGAAUUAUUAUUGUUGACAAUUAUCUAUAUGAUAAGUAAGUUGGGAGGCGAAACAUUAAGCCCCUAUAUUUCUCUGUGUUUGAUGGAUGCUAUUUUUUCUAAAAAUAUGCUUUGAGUGGUAGCAAUCAUGGAAGACUAUAUGAUAGUUGAGUAUGUGGAGUUUGCUAAAUCAAAGCUCUAACAUAGACCCUUCCUGAAAAUAAGAUGAAUUGCAAUUGUUUGAUGACUGAGAAUGAAGUUUGCUAGUUUUCAAGAAAGUUUAUGGUCUAUGCUUUAACAUUUGAAUAGCUUGUCACUUGAUCAUGAGAAGUUUUAUGAGAUGAGCUACUGUUAUGACAUAUAAUGAUGCUAGAAAAGGUGAUUGAAAUUAUCAUUGAUCAAACUUGUGCACCUGCUAGCAUUCACACUUCAUAAAUUAUUUCUUUUAUCAUUUACCUACUCGAGGACGAGCAGGAAUUAAGCUUGGGGAUGCUGAUACGUCUCCAACGUAUCUAUAAUUUAUGAAGCAUUCAUGCUAUUAUAUAGUCUGUUUUGGAUGUUUAUGGGCUUUACUAAGCACUAUUAUAUUAUUUUUGGGACUAACUAUUAACUGGAGGCCCAACCCGAAUUGUUGUUUUCUGGCCUAUUUUAGUGUUUCGAACAAAAGGAAUAUCAAACGGAGUCGAAACGGAAUGAAACCUUCGGGAAAGUUAUUUUUGGAACGGAAGCAAUCCAUGGGACUUGGAGUGCACGUAAGGGAAGCUUCGAGGUGGCCACGAGGCAGGGAGGCGCGCCCACCCCCUGGGCGUGCCCCCACCCUCAUGGGCCCCUAGUGGCUCCCGUGAACGACUUCUUUCUCCUAUAUAUCUCCAUAUACCCUAAAAACAUUGGGGACAACAAUAGAUCGGGAUUUCCGCCGCCGCAAGCCUAUGUAGCCACCAAAAACAUCUCGGGAGCCCGUUCCAGCACCCUGCCGGAGGGGGGAUCCCUCACCGGUGGCCAUCUUCAUCAUCCUGGCGCUCUCCAUGACGAGGAGGGAUUAGUUCACCCUCGGGGCUGAGGGUAUGUACCAGUAGCUAUGUGUUUGAUCUCUCUCCUCUCUCUCUCUUGUGUUCUUGAGGUGAUACGAUCUUGAUAUAUCGCGUGCUUUGCUAUUAUAGAUGGAUCUUAUGAUGUUUCUUCCCCUCUACUCUCUUGUGAUGAAUUGAGUUUUCCCCUUGAAGUUGUCUUGUCGGAUUGACUCUCUAAGGAUUUGAGAACACUUGAUGUAUGUCUUGUCGUGCUUAUCUAUGGCGAUAGCGGGAUAUUCACGUGAUCUACUUGAUGUAUAUUUUGGUGAUCAACUUGCGGGUUCAAUGAACUUAUGCAUAGGGGUUGGCACAUGUUUUCGUCUUGACUCUCCGGUAGAAACUUAGGGGCACUCUUUGAAGUACUUUGUGUUGGUUGAAUAGAUGAAUCUAAGCUUGUGUGAUGCAUAUCACAUAAUCAUGCCCACGGAUCCUUGAGGUGACAUUGGAGUAUCUAGGUGACAUUAGGGUUUUGGUUGAUUUGUGUCUUAAGGUGUUAUUCUAGUACGAACUCUACGAACAGAAAGAAUAGCUUCAUGUUAUUUUACUACGGACUCUUGAAUAGAUCAAUCAGAAAGGAUAACUUUGAGGUGGUUUCGUACUCUACCAUAAUCUCUUCGUUUGUUCUUCGCUAUUAGUGACUUUGGAGUGACUCUUUGUUGCAUGUUGAGGGAUUGUUAUAUGAUCUAAUUAUGUUAUUAUUAUGGAGAGAACUUGCACUAGUGAAAGUAUGAACCCUAGGCCUUGUUUCCUAACAUUGCAAUACCGUUUACGCUCACUUUUAUCAUUAGUUACCUUGCCGUUUUUUAUAUUUUCAGAUUACAAAAACCUAUAUCUAGCAUCCAUAUUGCACUUGUAUCACCAGCUCUUCGCCGAACUAGUGCACCUAUACAAUUUGCCAUUGUAUUGGGUGUGUUGGGGACACAAGAGACUCUUUGUUAUUUGGUUGCAGGGUUGUUUGAGAGAGACCAUCUUCAUCCUACGGCUCCCACAGAUUGAUGAACCUUAGGUCAUCCACUUGAGGGAAAUUUGCUACUGUCCUACAAACCUCUGCACUUGGAGGCCCAACAAUGUCUACAAGAAGAAGGUUGUGUAGUAGACAUCAACGGCUCGCCAUACGGCCACGAUGAGUAUGAGCCCCAACCUCUCAAUUCUCAGCAGAGGGAAGAGUUGCACCAUCGCAACGUUGAGGCGCUCCAAACCCCCAUCAUGGGGGAGAUCACUGAGGCUCGGGCCUUGGAGGCUGCGUGCCUGGCCACUUGGCUGAGCGCACGCGUUUGGAGAACCUCCAACAUUCUCUCGAUGAACGCGCCCGUCGACUGAUCCCUGAGUCCAGUCGACGACAACGGCAAUUUUUUCCGCCUGAACCCCAGGUAUAUCGCACUCAGAUCCAGAAUCUUACAUCUGCUGCACGUAGAAGAGUCUAUCCAGCCACCCCGUUCAGAAGCUGGAAGGGGCUUGGAGCAGAUCCGAGCGCUGCUUCGAGCAGCAGGAGAGCAAAACUCCGCCGUUUCUCAGUCGCGCAACAGGAUCCACAACAGGUCAAUAAGGCUAGAUACAGUUCAGUCGGUGCACAGCCCUGGGUCACCUUUGCGGUGUGAAGAUCGUGAUCGCCGUCGAGAUCGGCACCUGGGAAGAGACCAUGGGGAAUUUGAUCGUGAAUAUGCCCGUGACAACCACCGUCGAGUGCCUUCGCCCCCUCCGAGGGACAGGUCAUACACGCCCCGGCGGUAUGAUGACAGGCGCCCGUAUGGUAAUGACUGCAGAGUUCCAGUCGACCCAAGAGAGCCUGGGUUCAACGCAAGGUCAGUCCUUGUAGAAGGUUUGGUCGACCGGAACAGAGCAUUUAGAGAAGGAUUGGAUAGAGAUCGACCCAAUGGAAGCAGAUUACACGUUCCUGACCCCGAGUGCUUCGAAAGAGCCAUCCGAGCCGCCGAGAUCCCUCACAACUUCAGAUUGGCGACGAGUGUCAGUAAGUUCACCGGAGAGUCGAAGUCUGACACUUGGUUGGAGGAUUACCGAGUGGCUGUGCACAUCGGUGGUGGCAAUGAUGAGGUAGCCAUGAAACAUCUCCCUUUGAUGCUUGAGGGUUCUGCCAGAGCCUGGUUGAAUCAGUUGGCCCCUGGGAGCAUUUUCAAUUGGGAAGAAUUGUCCCGAGUGUUUACCAAAACAUUCGAGGUCACCUGCAAGAGACCUACUGGUUUGACAUAAUUACAACAUUGUGUGCAGAAACAGAAUGAGACUUUGAGAGAUUAUAUCCAGAGGUGGACUACCCUUCAUCACACAGUGGAGAACGUCUCAGAACACCAAGCAGUUUGUGCCUUUAAAGAAGGCGUUCGCUACAGAGAGCUCAAUCUGAAGUUCGGUCGGACUGGAGAUAUGUCUCUGACUCGGAUGAUGGAGAUUGCCACUCGGUAUGCUAAUGGCGAAGAAGAGGACCGACUCCAGAGCGGCAAGAACAAAUCAGUCACCAGGAUACCAAGAGAGGGAACUCCAGUCGAAAGCAGAAACGAAAAGUUGAGGCUGCGGGCCCCGCCGAGGCAGCGGUUUUGAAUCAAGGGAAGUUCAAGGGGAAGCCUAAAUGGCCUUGGACCCCUAAGAAAGUGAAAUAUCAAGCAGGAAAUGAUGUGCUUGAUUUACCCUAUCAUAUACACACCAAAAAGGAUGAAGAGGGGAAUCUGAUUCUUCCCAAGCAUACCACUCGACAAUGUCGACUCCCGAUUCAGAGUUUCCGAGAGAGCCAGCCCAGUGAAAAGGACAAAGAGUUUGAUAAGGAGGAGGACAAAGAGGAGGAUGGUGGUUACCCCAAUGUCAAUGCCACUUUGGUGUUUUUUGCUGACCUCGAGAGCAAAAGUCAACUAAAAGUUAUUAACAGAGAGGUAAACAUGGUUGCUCCGGCAAUGCCAAUAUAUUUGAAGUGGUCAAAAACCCCUAUUACAUUCGACCAGUCCGACCACCCAGCACACGUUGCUACCCCUGGGCAGUAAGCGUUGGUGGUCGACCCAGUUGUUGGGGGCACCCGACUGACCAAGGUUUUGAUGGACGGUGGCAGUGGAUUGAAUAUAUUGUAUGCUAAGGCCCUCUGGGGGAUGGGCAUUUCGAUGUCCAAGUUCAGUGAGAGCAACGUGAGAUUCCAUGGUGUCAUCCCAGGAAAGAAAGCUGACUCGCUCGGUCAGAUCACUCUUGAUGUGGUUUUCGGUGAUUCAAAGAAUUAUCGCAAUGAAAAGUUGACGUUUGAGGUGGUGGAUUUUGCAGUGCCUAUCAUGCCAUUCUAGGCAGACCUGCUUAUGCUCGUUUCAUGGCUCGACCGUGUUACGUGUACUUCAAGUUGAAGAUGCCCGACCCCAAUGGCGUGAUCACAGUCACUGGAAAUCGGCAAAGAGCAGAAUAUUGCCUCAAAAAGGCAAUUUUAAAUGCUUCCACAUGUCCACCUAAUCUAGCUGCCUUGCACUUUGCGUCAAAGAGAGUUGCGCCAGGUCAUUCUAAAUAUUCAUACCUAUCACUUUCGAUUAACAUACCAUUUCUCGUGAUGAAACCUCUUGAAACCCAACUAGUGGAACCUGCGCAAUAAUCCAGUUUUUUUUGCUGGUGUGCAAGUCUUUGUGUGAAGACAGAAGAGUGUUUUUGGCACUUCAGAUUUUCAUUUGAAAAUAGUUUUGGACAACAUUAAAGAGGUGGAUCAGUUUGCUGGAUAUGUCAUAUCACCAUGCCAUUUUUGCAUGAAUGAGACACUAGUACCUAACUAUCUUCCAUUUUGUGCAGGUGGAAAUUUGACGCUCCUCUAGUAAAGGCCGCUUCGCGUCAGCAGAGCAGCGUAGUAAAUACUGAAGAUGGUCACUAGAGCAGCAAAAAUUUUGUGGGCAACAGAAAUCAGGGCAAAAUCAGACUGCUACGGCUCGUCUGAUUUGUGUGAGUCUCCUCUGAUGCAUCCUUGUACCAAGAUAUCUCAGCUCUUGAGUAACAUAAGGCAGCUCAGCUCAUUUGUUGGGACCCUACAGAAAAUCACAGACGAUACACCUGAAUCCAUGUUCUGUAUCAUCCUGUAAAAAUAGAUAAAAAAGUUUAAUUAUAUGCACCAUUCAUGGCUUCUCUAAUAGGAAGAGUUCUCUUAGGCGCAUUGUUUUCGUGUAAUAUAGGUCAGAGCUGAUGGGCUCGCCAAAUUGGUCUGGGGUUAAGACAUUUGUUUGUGUAAUGGUGUGAAAUAAUAACGAUCCAGCUCUCAGUUUUCUAAUACUUCCUUUGUCCUACAAUGCACGGCGAUUUUGCAAGUUAUGUUGCUUGCAAAAACGUCUUAUGUUAU